rnacentral:other from 1 species
GAACUUCUGAGGUGUUCGACAACUCUUGCUAUUUUGAACCUACAUUUAUUUUUAUGGGAUUUCGAUAUUUAUAUGUGGAUGUCAUGCCUGCAUCGACUGGACGGCAGAAGUGUAUAUGUGAUUACCCACCUAGCUUGGGCUAGGACUCAAAAUGCGGGAACCGGCACACUCGGAUGUUCU